rnacentral:rRNA from 1 species
CCUACGGGGGGCAGCAGUAGGGAAUUUUCGUCAAUGGGCGCAAGCCUGAACGAGCAAUGCCGCGUGAACGAGGAAGGUCUUCGGAUCGUAAAGUUCUGUUGAAGGGGAAAAAGAGCGGAGAGAGGAAAUGAACUCCGAUUGACAUUACCCUUCGAGGAAGUCACGGCCAAGUACGUGCCAGCAGCCGGGGUAAUACGUAGGUGGCGAGCUUUAUUCGGCGUUAUUGGGCGUAAAGGGCUCGUAGGCGGUAUGUCAAGUCAAGGGUGAAAUCCCCGCGCUCAACGUGGGAACUGCCUUUGAAACUGGCAAACUGGAGUGUGUGAGAGGAGAGUGGAAUUCCAGGUGUAGGGGUGAAAUCCGUAGAUAUC